rnacentral:misc_RNA from 1 species
GAAAUGCGAUAAGUAGUGUGAAUUGCAGAAUUCAGUGAAUCAUCGAAUCUUUGAACGCACAUUGCGCCCCUUGGUAUUCCAUGGGGCAUGCCUGUUCGAGCGUCAUUUGUACCUUCAAGCUCUGCUUGGUGUUGGGUGUUUGUCUCGCCUUUGCGUGUAGACUCGCCUUAAAACAAUUGGCAGCCGGCGUAUUGAUUUCGGAGCGCAGUACAUCUCGCGCUUUGCACUCAUAACGACGACGUCCAAAAAGUACUUUUUACACUCUUGACCUCGGAUCAGGUAGGGAUACCCGCUGAACUUAA